rnacentral:rRNA from 1 species
GAUGAACGCUGGCGGCGUGCCUAAUACAUGCAAGUCGAGCGAACGGACGAGAAGCUUGCUUUUCUGAUGUUAGCGGCGGACGGGUGAGUAACACGUGGAUAACCUACCUAUAAGACUGGGAUAACUUCGGGAAACCGGAGCUAAUACCGGAUAAUAUUUUGAACCGCAUGGUUCAAAAGUGAAAGACGGUCUUGCUGUCACUUAUAGAUGGAUCCGCGCUGCAUUAGCUAGUUGGUAAGGUAACGGCUUACCAAGGCAACGAUGCAUAGCCGACCUGAGAGGGUGAUCGGCCACACUGGAACUGAGACACGGUCCAGACUCCUACGGGAGGCAGCAGUAGGGAAUCUUCCGCAAUGGGCGAAAGCCUGACGGAGCAACGCCGCGUGAGUGAUGAAGGUCUUCGGAUCGUAAAACUCUGCUAUUAGGGAAGAACAUAUGUGUAAGUAACUGUGCACAUCUUGACGGUACCUAAUCAGAAAGCCACGGCUAACUACGUG